rnacentral:rRNA from 1 species
GACGAACGCUGGCGGCGUGCUUAACACAUGCAAGUCGAACGGAAAGACCCUGCUUUUGUGGGGUGCUCGAGUGGCGAACGGGUGAGUAACACGUGAGUAACCUGCCCUUGACUUUGGGAUAACUUCAGGAAACUGGGGCUAAUACCGGAUAGGAGCUCCUGCUGCAUGGUGGGGGUUGGAAAGUUUCGGCGGUUGGGGAUGGACUCGCGGCUUAUCAGCUUGUUGGUGGGGUAGUGGCUUACAAAGGCUUUGACGGGUAGCCGGCCUGCGAGGGUGACCGGCCACAUUGGGACUGAGAUACGGCCCAGACUCCUACGGGAGGCAGCAGUGGGGAAUAUUGCACAAUGGGCGGAAGCCUGAUGCAGCAACGCCGCGUGCGGGAUGACGGCCUUCGGGUUGUAAACCGCUUUCGCCUGUGACGAAGCGUGAGUGACGGUAAUGGGUAAAGAAGCACCGGCUAACUACGUG